AAUCCCGUAGCUCAGCCGGAUAGAGCGCAAGAUUCCUAACCUUGAGGCCGGUGGUUCAAACGCGCACGGGGUGGCCA
rnacentral:tRNA from 1 species